GCACACAGAGGGCGACUGCAGCUUGGGCGCCCAGGCGGCGGAGCAUGGUCUGGGUGGCCUCUGGAAUGCGUGCGCGCCAGACCUGAGGGCCCUCCUGCUGGUGCCACCUGACCCCGUCUUCCUCUGCUGGAGCCUGGAGCAGCUGGAAUGGCCACUCUGCAGUCACAGGGGAUAGAGUUAAGUUUUCUUAUCCCAGGCAUGCACACAAAAAGGUGAAAUGCUCAUUGCAGUGCUGCAAAAAGGUGAGGUCACAGGACACAAACCCGUAUCUGAGACCUGGAUGCCUUCCUCCACGCACUCACCCACUGGCUGUCCUGAGCAUCACCCUGCACCUAUUGUCACAGCAACAAGGGAAAAAUCAGCAUAGUGGUCAAGUCCAUUGUCAGCUUCUGACACUGCCUCUUACAAGGAGGUGACUUUGGAAAUGUCAUUCAGCCUUCCUGUGCCUGAGAUCGCCUCACCUGUCAAAUGGGAACAAUAAAGCACUUCAAAGAA
rnacentral:sRNA from 1 species